UAAUCAUAAUGCUUAUAAUGGAAUUUACAAUAUUUAUUGGAUUUGAAUAGAUUUGAAUCCAUAAUAUUACGAACUCAAUAUUCUCGAAUCUCAAUAAUAUAAACUUGUGUUCCAAUGAGCCUGUUAUAACUGAGAUCAAAGAUUUUCAACAUUUUGAAGCCUGGUAUGUCUGUCAAAUACAAAGUUUUCAAAAAAAAGUGAAUCUAAAUGAAAAAUAUCUACAAUAAAAUAAUGGAAUAUAUGAAU
rnacentral:lncRNA from 1 species